rnacentral:rRNA from 1 species
CUACGGGCUGCUCCAGUGAGGAAUAUUGCACAAUGGGGGGAACCCUGAUGCAGCAACGCCGCGUGGAGGAUGACGCAUUUCGGUGUGUAAACUCCUUUUAUAUGUCAAGAAAAUGACGGUAGCAUAUGAAUAAGCACCGGCUAACUCCGUGCCAGCAGCCGCGGUAAUACGGAGGGUGCAAGCGUUACUCGGAAUCACUGGGCGUAAAGGACGCGUAGGCGGGUUGGAAAGUCAGGUGUGAAAUCCUACAGCUUAACUGUAGAACUGCACUUGAAACUUCUAAUCUAGAGUAUGGGAGGGGGAGAUGAAAUUAGUGGUGUAGGGGUAAAAUCCGUAGAUAUCACUAGGAAUACCUAAAGCGAAGGCGAUCUCCUGGAACAUUACUGACGCUAAGGCGUGAAAGCGUGGGGAGCAAACAGGAUUAGAUACCCUGUAGUC